GGUCUGGUGGUGUAGUUGGUUAUCACGUCAGUCUAACAGCUCGAGAGCCUCGCCUCUCUCGUCUGCGACACUGAAGGUCUCCGGUUCAAGUCCGGGCUAGAUCA
rnacentral:tRNA from 1 species